rnacentral:rRNA from 1 species
UGAGGAAUAUUGGUCAAUGGGCGGAGCCUGAACCAGCCAAGUCGCGUGAGGGAAGACGGUCCUAUGGAUUGUAAACCUCUUUUGUCGGGGAGCAAAGAGGCCACGUGUGGUCAAAAGCGAGAGUACCCGAAGAAAAAGCAUCGGCUAACUCCGUGCC